rnacentral:rRNA from 1 species
UGAGGAAUAUUGGUCAAUGGGCGAAGGCCUGAACCAGCCAAGUAGCGUGAAGGAUGACUGCCCUAUGGGUUGUAAACUUCUUUUAUAAAGGAAUAAAGUGCAGCACGUGUGCUGUUUUGUAUGUACUUUAUGAAUAAGGAUCGGCUAACUCCGUGCCAGCAGCCGCGGUAAUACGGAGGAUCCGAGCGUUAUCCGGAUUUAUUGGGUUUAAAGGGAGCGUAGAUGGGUUGUUAAGUCAGUUGUGAAAGUUUGCGGCUCAACCGUAAAAUUGCAAUUGAUACUGGCAGUCUUGAGUACAGUUGAGGUAGGCGGAAUUCGUGGUGUAGCGGUGAAAUGCUUAGAUAUCACGAAGAACUCCGAUUGCGAAGGCAGCUUACUAAACUGCAACUGACAUUGAGGCUCGAAAGUGUGGGUAUCAAACAGG